CAGUAGCCGCGGUAAUACGUAGGUGGCAAGCGUUGUCCGGAAUUAUUGGGCGUAAAGGGCUCGCAGGCGGUUUCUUAAGUCUGAUGUGAAAGCCCACGGCUCAACCGGGGAGGGUCAUUGGAAACUGGGAAACUUGAGUGCAGAAGAGGAGAGUGGAAUUCCACGUGUAGCGGUGAAAUGCGUAGAGAUGUGGAGGAACACCAGUGGCGAAGGCGACUCUCUGGUCUGUAACUGACGCUGAGGAGCGAAAGCGUGGGGAGCGAACAGGAUUAGAUACCCGCGUAGUCCCUGUCUCUUAUAA
rnacentral:rRNA from 1 species